GACGAACGCGGCGGCGUGCCUAAUACAUGCAAGUCGAACGCACGAAGUUGAAGAGCUUGCUCUUUAACCAAGUGAGUGGCGGACGGGUGAGUAACACGUGGGUAACCUGCCCAUUAGAGGGGGAUAACAUUCGGAAACGGAUGCUAAUACCGCAUAGUUUCAGGAAUCGCAUGAUUCUUGAAGGAAAGGUGGCUUCGGCUACCACUAAUGGAUGGACCCGCGGCGUAUUAGCUAGUUGGUGAGGUAAUGGCUCACCAAGGCAAUGAUACGUAGCCGACCUGAGAGGGUGAUCGGCCACACUGGGACUGAGACACGGCCCAGACUCCUACGGGAGGCAGCAGUAGGGAAUCUUCCGCAAUGGACGAAAGUCUGACGGAGCAACGCCGCGUGAGUGAAGAAGGUUUUCGGAUCGUAAAACUCUGUUGUUAAAGAAGAACAAGGAUGAGAGUAACUGCUCAUCCCCUGACGGUAUUUAACCAGAAAGCCACGGCUAACUACGUGCCAGCAGCCGCGGUAAUACGUAGGUGGCAAGCGUUGUCCGGAUUUAUUGGGCGUAAAGCGAGCGCAGGCGGUUCUUUAAGUCUGAUGUGAAAGCCCCCGGCUCAACCGGGGAGGGUCAUUGUAAACUGGAGAACUUGAGUGCAGAAGAGGAGAGUGGAAUUCCACGUGUAGCGGUGAAAUGCGUAGAUAUGUGGAGGAACACCAGUGGCGAAGGCGACUCUCUGGUCUGUAACUGACGCUGAGGCUCGAAAGCGUGGGGAGCAAACAGG
rnacentral:rRNA from 1 species